GGGUUGUGAGGUUAAGCGACUAAGCGUACACGGUGGAUGCCCUGGCAGUCAGAGGCGAUGAAGGACGUGCUAAUCUGCGAUAAGCGUCGGUAAGGUGAUAUGAACCGUUAUAACCGGCGAUUUCCGAAUGGGGAAACCCAGUGUGAUUCGUCACACUAUCAUUAACUGAAUCCAUAGGUUAAUGAGGCGAACCGGGGGAACUGAAACAUCUAAGUACCCCGAGGAAAAGAAAUCAACCGAGAUUCCCCCAGUAGCGGCGAGCGAACGGGGAGCAGCCCAGAGCCUGAAUCAGUGUGUGUGUUAGUGGAAGCGUCUGGAAAGGCGCGCGAUACAGGGUGACAGCCCCGUACACAAAAAUGCACAUGCUGUGAGCUCGAUGAGUAGGGCGGGACACGUGGUAUCCUGUCUGAAUAUGGGGGGACCAUCCUCCAAGGCUAAAUACUCCUGACUGACCGAUAGUGAACCAGUACCGUGAGGGAAAGGCGAAAAGAACCCCGGCGAGGGGAGUGAAAAAGAACCUGAAACCGUGUACGUACAAGCAGUGGGAGCACGCUUAGGCGUGUGACUGCGUACCUUUUGUAUAAUGGGUCAGCGACUUAUAUUCUGUAGCAAGGUUAACCGAAUAGGGGAGCCGAAGGGAAACCGAGUCUUAACUGGGCGUUAAGUUGCAGGGUAUAGACCCGAAACCCGGUGAUCUAGCCAUGGGCAGGUUGAAGGUUGGGUAACACUAACUGGAGGACCGAACCGACUAAUGUUGAAAAAUUAGCGGAUGACUUGUGGCUGGGGGUGAAAGGCCAAUCAAACCGGGAGAUAGCUGGUUCUCCCCGAAAGCUAUUUAGGUAGCGCCUCGUGAAUUCAUCUCCGGGGGUAGAGCACUGUUUCGGCAAGGGGGUCAUCCCGACUUACCAACCCGAUGCAAACUGCGAAUACCGGAGAAUGUUAUCACGGGAGACACACGGCGGGUGCUAACGUCCGUCGUGAAGAGGGAAACAACCCAGACCGCCAGCUAAGGUCCCAAAGUCAUGGUUAAGUGGGAAACGAUGUGGGAAGGCCCAGACAGCCAGGAUGUUGGCUUAGAAGCAGCCAUCAUUUAAAGAAAGCGUAAUAGCUCACUGGUCGAGUCGGCCUGCGCGGAAGAUGUAACGGGGCUAAACCAUGCACCGAAGCUGCGGCAGCGACGCUGAUGCGUUGUUGGGUAGGGGAGCGUUCUGUAAGCCUGUGAAGGUGUACUGUGAGGUAUGCUGGAGGUAUCAGAAGUGCGAAUGCUGACAUAAGUAACGAUAAAGCGGGUGAAAAGCCCGCUCGCCGGAAGACCAAGGGUUCCUGUCCAACGUUAAUCGGGGCAGGGUGAGUCGACCCCUAAGGCGAGGCCGAAAGGCGUAGUCGAUGGGAAACAGGUUAAUAUUCCUGUACUUGGUGUUACUGCGAAGGGGGGACGGAGAAGGCUAUGUUGGCCGGGCGACGGUUGUCCCGGUUUAAGCGUGUAGGCUGGUUUUCCAGGCAAAUCCGGAAAAUCAAGGCUGAGGCGUGAUGACGAGGCACUACGGUGCUGAAGCAACAAAUGCCCUGCUUCCAGGAAAAGCCUCUAAGCAUCAGGUAACAUCAAAUCGUACCCCAAACCGACACAGGUGGUCAGGUAGAGAAUACCAAGGCGCUUGAGAGAACUCGGGUGAAGGAACUAGGCAAAAUGGUGCCGUAACUUCGGGAGAAGGCACGCUGAUAUGUAGGUGAAGUCCCUCGCGGAUGGAGCUGAAAUCAGUCGAAGAUACCAGCUGGCUGCAACUGUUUAUUAAAAACACAGCACUGUGCAAACACGAAAGUGGACGUAUACGGUGUGACGCCUGCCCGGUGCCGGAAGGUUAAUUGAUGGGGUUAGCGCAAGCGAAGCUCUUGAUCGAAGCCCCGGUAAACGGCGGCCGUAACUAUAACGGUCCUAAGGUAGCGAAAUUCCUUGUCGGGUAAGUUCCGACCUGCACGAAUGGCGUAAUGAUGGCCAGGCUGUCUCCACCCGAGACUCAGUGAAAUUGAACUCGCUGUGAAGAUGCAGUGUACCCGCGGCAAGACGGAAAGACCCCGUGAACCUUUACUAUAGCUUGACACUGAACAUUGAGCCUUGAUGUGUAGGAUAGGUGGGAGGCUUUGAAGUGUGGACGCCAGUCUGCAUGGAGCCGACCUUGAAAUACCACCCUUUAAUGUUUGAUGUUCUAACGUGGACCCGUAAUCCGGGUUGCGGACAGUGUCUGGUGGGUAGUUUGACUGGGGCGGUCUCCUCCUAAAGAGUAACGGAGGAGCACGAAGGUUGGCUAAUCCUGGUCGGACAUCAGGAGGUUAGUGCAAUGGCAUAAGCCAGCUUGACUGCGAGCGUGACGGCGCGAGCAGGUGCGAAAGCAGGUCAUAGUGAUCCGGUGGUUCUGAAUGGAAGGGCCAUCGCUCAACGGAUAAAAGGUACUCCGGGGAUAACAGGCUGAUACCGCCCAAGAGUUCAUAUCGACGGCGGUGUUUGGCACCUCGAUGUCG
rnacentral:rRNA from 1 species